rnacentral:rRNA from 1 species
AGAGUUUGAUCAUGGCUCAGAUUGAACGCUGGCGGCAGGCCUAACACAUGCAAGUCGAACGGUAACAGGAAGCAGCUUGCUGCUUUGCUGACGAGUGGCGGACGGGUGAGUAAUGUCUGGGAAACUGCCUGAUGGAGGGGGAUAACUACUGGAAACGGUGGCUAAUACCGCAUAACGUCGCAAGACCAAAGAGGGGGACCUUCGGGCCUCUUGCCAUCAGAUGUGCCCAGAUGGGAUUAGCUAGUUGGUGAGGUAACGGCUCACCAAGGCGACGAUCCCUAGCUGGUCUGAGAGGAUGACCAGCCACACUGGAACUGAGACACGGUCCAGACUCCUACGGGAGGCAGCAGUGGGGAAUAUUGCACAAUGGGCGCAAGCCUGAUGCAGCCAUGCCGCGUGUAUGAAGAAGGCCUUCGGGUUGUAAAGUACUUUCAGCGGGGAGGAAGGUGUUGUGGUUAAUAACCACAGCAAUUGACGUUACCCGCAGAAGAAGCACCGGCUAACUCCGUGCCAGCAGCCGCGGUAAUACGGAGGGUGCAAGCGUUAAUCGGAAUUACUGGGCGUAAAGCGCACGCAGGCGGUCUGUCAAGUCGGAUGUGAAAUCCCCGGCUCAACCUGGGAACUGCAUUCGAACUGGCAGGCUUGAGUCUUGUAGAGGGGGUAGAAUUCCAGGUGUAGCGGUGAAAUGCGUAGAGAUCUGGAGGAAUACCGGUGGCGAAGGCGGCCCCCUGGACAAAGACUGACGCUCAGGUGCGAAAGCGUGGGGAGCAAACAGGAUUAGAUACCCUGGUAGUCCACGCCGUAAACGAUGUCUACUUGGAGGUUGUGCCUUGAGGCGUGGCUUCCGGAGCUAACGCGUUAAGUAGACCGCCUGGGGAGUACGGCCGCAAGGUUAAAACUCAAAUGAAUUGACGGGGCCCGCACAAGCGGUGGAGCAUGUGGUUUAAUUCGAUGCAACGCGAAGAACCUUACCUGGUCUUGACAUCCACGGAAGUUUUCAGAGAUGAGAAUGUGCCUUCGGGAACCGUGAGACAGGUGCUGCAUGGCUGUCGUCAGCUCGUGUUGUGAAAUGUUGGGUUAAGUCCCGCAACGAGCGCAACCCUUAUCCUUUGUUGCCAGCGGUUAGGCCGGGAACUCAAAGGAGACUGCCAGUGAUAAACUGGAGGAAGGUGGGGAUGACGUCAAGUCAUCAUGGCCCUUACGACCAGGGCUACACACGUGCUACAAUGGCGCAUACAAAGAGAAGCGACCUCGCGAGAGCAAGCGGACCUCAUAAAGUGCGUCGUAGUCCGGAUUGGAGUCUGCAACUCGACUCCAUGAAGUCGGAAUCGCUAGUAAUCGUGGAUCAGAAUGCCACGGUGAAUACGUUCCCGGGCCUUGUACACACCGCCCGUCACACCAUGGGAGUGGGUUGCAAAAGAAGUAGGUAGCUUAACCUUCGGGAGGGCGCUUACCACUUUGUGAUUCAUGACUGGGGUGAAGUCGUAACAAGGUAACCGUAGGGGAACCUGCGGUUGGAUCACCU